rnacentral:tRNA from 1 species
GGGGUUGUGGCUCAGUGGUAGAGCACAUGCCUAGCAUGUGCAAGGCCCUGGGUUCAAUCCUCAGCACCA